UACGAAGGGUGCAAACGUUGCUCGGAAUUAUUGGGCGUAAAGCGCACGUAGGCGGCUUAGCAAGUCGGAUGUGAAAGCCCUCGGCUCAACCAAGGAAGUGCAUCCGAAACUGCUGAGCUUGAGUACUUAAGAGGAUCGCGGAAUUCCCGGUGUAGAGGUGAAAUUCGUAGAUAUCGGGAGGAACACCAGUGGCGAAGGCGGCGAUCUAGGAAGAUACUGACGCUGAGGUGCGAAAGCGUGGGGAGCAAACAGG
rnacentral:rRNA from 1 species